UACAUAAACAAUAGGGCAGAGGAAGCAAUCGGAUAGGCAUUUGCUUCAGGUGAGCAGAGGGAUGACUUUCUGUCCCACAUCUGUGAAGAUCAGCUGUUGGUUUACAUUGCCAGGGUGAAAUUCAACAGAACUAAUUUAGGGUGAAGAUCUUGAGGCCCACAAGGAAUUUCCUUGUGGGAAAAUUGUGAGGAAAUUCUUGGAGGCUGAAAGAACACAUGGAGAGCAGUGUUUUUCCAGCUUCUGUGUUGGUAAGAGCCUGGAGUCUCUCUCUCUGUCUCUCUCUCUCUCUCUCUCUCUCUCUCUAUCACACACACACACACACACACACACACACACACACAGAGCAAUCACUGCACCCAGCCACCUCUAUAUACAUGUACACAAAGCCACACAGUUUACACAGUCACAGGUAUUUAAGUACACACUAUUCACACACAAAUACAUAUAUAGACACACAUGUACAGUCCGUCCAAAAUAUAUGUACAUAAAAGCACACUAUUACACCUUCAUAUGUGCACACACACACACACCCAGACUCACUUCAUACACACAUAGAUACAACAGCCACAGCUCCCCAUCACCUACACACACACACACACACCUGGACACCCAGCUCUAAUAUAAUCAGAUAGAGAUAUGCAUGCAGACAAAUUUGCCUGUAUAGUCAAACACAUAGGCAAAUAGAGAACGAGACACCACAUGAACAAAGGCAAACCUACACACAAAGACACAGAGCACACUUACGCAUAUAUCUAUAGACCCACCAUGGCACAUAUGGGUAAGUGCACACAGGCAAACUCACACACACGAGCAUGCACAGGCAGAGAACACAAAUGUACACUCCCAGGUGUCAUAAAGAACAGCCCAGCUUCGGCUUGGGAACGUCACAUCAGACAAUAGGAACGGCUGCACCGCGCGUUUCCUCGGCUGCCAGCUUCCCAGCCACAGAGGAUGCCUCACCUGCUAUGUCAGCUCCCCUCUGCCCCACCUCACAAGAAGCUCAGAAGCUGAGGAGUCACAGAGAGACCUCCCUACUGUGUCAGAUAGCUGCUGUGUCACAAAGAUACUGGAAAGGGGCAAGGUGAAGGAGGAGACCAGCAGAGCAGCCACGGCCGGGACAGUGCAGAGGAGGGAAGAUGACACAGCUGUGAGACAUUUUGGGGAAUAGGUCCUUCUGUCACGGGGCACAGGACCCUUGACCGCAAAAUGACGUGAGUUACCACUGACUAUUUUCUGGGUCUUGAUCUUGUGACUCCAAAUGGAUGGUAAGCUCCUUAAGGGAAAGUCUAUGAUAUUCAUCCAACCACCCAUCCAUCCUUUCAUCCACCCAACCAUCCAUCCAUCUGACCAUCAUCCAUCCAUCCAUCCAUCCAUCUAUCCAUCUUCUAUCCAUCUGUCUACUCACCCAUCCACCCAUCCAUUCAAUUAUUCAUCCAUCCCUCUUCCAUCCAUUCACCCAUCUUCCAUCCAUCUGUCCACCCAUCCAUUCCACCAUUUAUCCAUCCAACCACCAUCUAUUCAUCCAACCACUCGUCUAUUCAUCCCUCUGACCAUCCAACCAUCCAUCGAUUUGUUCAAUUAUUUUAUCAAGCAUCUACACUGCACCACACACCCUAAUGGGUGUUGGGGAGAAAAUGGAGAGUAAAAUCAGAUGGGACCUCUGACCUCAGUGCGGCUGACCAUCAGUCCGGUAGAGGAGACACGUAAACUGACAAUUAUAAAUAAACACAAUGUGUCAACUCUGACAAGUGCUGUGAGGGAGAAAUCAGCAGUACUGAGAAAGCCUUUAUGGUCCUGGUGUGAGAGGUGGGAUGAGCCCAACACAGCAACAACAGCAAGACCAUGGGGGAGUGUGGUGCAGAUGGGCAGGUGUACAGAGCAUGCAGGCCAUGUCUGCCAGCCCUCUCUUUGUGCAUUAGCAACAGUAAAACGGGGCUUGUGUUUGGGCAGAUUAUACCACUGGUCUUGCAUCCCAAAUGUCUCUUUGUUCACUCGUUUAUACAAACAUGCUCAAUAAUAUUUAUGCAUUUUUACUGUGACAUCAUUUUCUUAUAUAAUAAAAGUGCCUAUUUAUAUACCGUAUAUGUAUAUAUAUAAUACACAGAUGCACACACACAAGCACACAUGCACAGAGCUUCUUGACAGUCAGUCCCUCAUAAGGUAGUCCACUGAAGUGCAGUCAUCACCAUCCUCAGACCUCAUGAUUAUAUAACUAGAGCACCUUAUAUUUUUAUAUUUUAUUAUGUAUUUAAUAAUCACAUAACUCUUUAGUGAAUGCCAAUUAAUUAGGAGAAUGACAUGCCUUCUCUCUGCUCCUCAUAAUAUCCCCCUUAGAUAGGUUUUAUCUCCCCACUUACAAGAUGUGGAGACUGGGCCGGGCACGGUGACUCACGCCUGUAAUCCCAGCACUUUGGGAGGAUGAGGCGGGUGGAUCACAUGAGAUCAGGAGUUUGAGACCAUCCUGGCCAACAUGACAAAACCGUCUCCUCUAAAAAUACCAAAAUUAGCUGGGACUGGUGGCACGUUCCUUUAAUCCCAGCUACUCGGGAGGUUGAGGCAGGAGAAUUGCUUGAACCCAGGAGGCAGAGGUUGUAGUGAGCCAAGAUCGUGCCACUGCACUCCAGCCUUGGUGACAGAGCAAGACUCUGUCUCAAAAAACAAACAAACACAGGUACAGCUUGAGCAAAGACACAGAAGCAGAAGGCAGGUUUUUGGUUCCAUGAACUCUACAUCUGGCUACAUACAAAUGGUGAAGAGGAACAGGGAGAAACAUGGUUGAAAAGAACAGGCUUGGACUUCAGGAAGCAGUAAAAUGAGCGAAUGCCAUUUAUGGUUACAAAGAUAACUCAGCUGGGGGCCAAACAGAGACUGAAAUGGAGUGGGUGAGGAUGGAGGCCGGGAGGAGAUGGCUGCAGAGGUCCCAGCAAUGACAGUGGUUGUGGGAAGGGGCAACCCCAAGUCUUGUGCUCCCAACUGCAAAUCCGGUCUCCAGGACACAUGUGCAUGAGUUCCUCUAGGAAACCACGGUGUACAACUGCUGGGUUGCAGGCCCAGGGUUCUUUCCACUUCUCUAUCCUCCCAAGUAGGGUCCAGCUGGCCUUAGUGCUGCCAUGCUGAGAGCUCUGGGAGGGGCAACCCAGGGCAGACAGGCCCAGGCCAGCCACCCUGCCCCAGGCAUUUCCCAGGACUCAUCAGGCACCCAGCGGCCCCUCAGCAGUGAGCAAUACCAGAAAUCUGCCAGCUGG
rnacentral:lncRNA from 1 species